UACGUAGGCAGCGAGCGUUGUUCGGAAUUACUGGGCGUAAAGAGUGUGUAGGCGGUGUUCCAAGUCUGGUGUGAAAUCUCCCGGCUCAACUGGGAGGGUGCGCCGGAAACUGGAAUGCUAGAGGGUGGGAGAGGUAAGCGGAAUUCCUGGUGUAGCGGUGAAAUGCGUAGAUAUCAGGAGCAACACCUGUGGUGUAGACAGCUUACUGGACCACUUCUGACGCUGAGACACGAAAGCGUGGGUAGCAAACAGG
rnacentral:rRNA from 1 species